rnacentral:rRNA from 1 species
GGUUGAUCCGCGGAGUGCAUGUAUCGGAGUCGAUUAAGCCAUGCGAGUCGAGAGGUGCAAGACUCGGCAUACUGCUCAGUAACACGUNGACAACUAACCUAUUGAGGGGGAUAACCCGGGAAACUGGGGAUAAUAACCCAUAAUAUGAAUGCUGGAAUGCUUUGUAUUGAAAGUGUCCGCGCAUAGGAUGGGUCUGCGGCCGGAUUAGUGUUKGUUGUUUGGGKGUCAACWGGCCCAACCAAGCCKGUCAAGUCGGUYACGGUGWUUGUUGUGGAGCAAGAGCCCGGAGAUGUGAUUUCUUGAGACACGSAAUCCAGKGCCCUACGGGGCGCAGCAGUGCUGCGAAAACUUUACAAUUGCGGGMAAACYGUGAUAAGGGAACUCCGGAGUUGCCCGUAAAAAUCCGRGGCUGUCCCAUCUGUUUCAAAUCAACCAGGUGSAAGCAAAGGGCCGGGCAAUGACCAGGUGCCAGCCAGCCGCGGGUAAUACCAGGCAGGCUCGAUGUGCCCACUAUUACUGGGCUUAAAGCGUUCGUAGCUGUCUUUAAUCUCUGGGGAAAUCUACUGGCUUAACCAAUAGGCGUCUCAGGGAUACUGCAGAUAGGGACCGGGAGAGUGAGAGGUACUCCAGGGUAGGAGUGAAAUCCUGUAAUCCUUGGGGGACCACCUGUGGCGAAGGCGUCUCACCAGACGGCUCCGACAGUGAGGGACAGAAAGCUGGGGGACAAACCGGAUUAGAUACCCGGUAGUCCCAGCUGUAAACGAUGCGCGUUAGGUGUAUCGGUGACCACGAGUCAUCGAGGUGCCGAAGAGAAAUCGUGAAACGUCCGCCUGGGAAGUACGUCGCAAGCCUGAAACUUAAAGAAUUGGCGGGGGAGCAC